rnacentral:rRNA from 1 species
UGGCGAACGGGUGAGUAACACGUGAGCAACCUGCCUUUCAGUGGGGGACAACAUUUGGAAACGAAUGCUAAUACCGCAUAAGACCACAGUGUCGCAUGGCACAGGGGUCAAAGGAUUUAUCCGCUGAAAGAUGGGCUCGCGUCCGAUUAGCUAGAUGGUGAGGUAACGGCCCACCAUGGCGACGAUCGGUAGCCGGACUGAGAGGUUGAACGGCCACAUUGGGACUGAGACACGGCCCAGACUCCUACGGGAGGCAGCAGUGGGGAAUAUUGCACAAUGGGGGAAACCCUGAUGCAGCGACGCCGCGUGGAGGAAGAAGGUCUUCGGAUUGUAAACUCCUGUCCCAGGGGACGAUAAUGACGGUACCCUGGGAGGAAGCACCGGCUAACUACGUGCC